GUGGCUGCUGUCCUGCUGGCGUUGCUGCUCCCCUCCCCUUCGCUGCUCGCCUGCCCCCUUCCUCCCAUCACGAGAUGCAGUUUGCACAAAGCCACCAUCUUAGAGCAUGCGGGCAUUAAAUGGAAGUGGAAAAUAAGCAGGUUUUUAUAGUCAAGUCGAAUAAAGUGACAUCCAUUAAAUGGAGGAUCGGAGCUGAAACGGGCUGAUGGAAUCAAACGGGUCUUUACAAUGCAUCAGCCCCAACAUCAGAUAAAAGACAGCACUUUAAUUGUUCUACAUUAUUUCAGUCUUGGCAUUUUCUAUGCAGUUAUACGGCUGUAUGUUGCGAGUCAAGUGUAUGUGUGUGUGUGUGUGUGUGUGGAAGAUGAAAGAAAUUCUUUAUACGGUUCUGAGUCAAAGUACUCAACAAAUUGUGUAUUUGUACAAAUGCGCUUGCUGGGGAUUCUCCAAGUAAAAAGGUUUUAUUCGGGUAGUUCUAUAGUGAAUUUAAUGAAGGUUUUCUAGAAAAUGUCGUUUCAAAGGCCAAUCUUUUAGGUAAUUUUUGAUAAAAAGAGUUUAACAAUCUCAGAUCUAGUUUGUCUUGGUACAAUCUUUAGCAUAAUGCACUUUAUAACACACAAACUGAUUUUUUUAGUUCAGUACUUUUCAAUAUAAAAAAAAAUGUAGUGGCUUGUGUUCAUUCCCUUAUGUACUUAUCUAAUAACUAAUUACUAAUUAAAUCUAACAUGAAUUAUUAGAAAUGGUGUGUGAGGCUCUGUAGAUUCUGCAUGUAUGAUUGUGAGACCCACUGCAGCGGUGAACGAUACUGCACUCUGAUUGGACAGCUCAGUGUGUUGUGCAUCACACACUUAUUGGACAGAGAGCUGUUGUCUUUAAUUUCUAUGCAAUUGUGUUGGGCCUGUAAUCACCUGAAAGAGAAGGCAGAUCAGAGCAGCAAUUUAUGACAGCAGGUUAAACUUGUUUUAAGGUGAAAGGAAUAUUUAGCAGAAUAUAUAUGAAUAUUUUAUUUCUGCUAAAAAUGGUUUCAACAGCAAACUGUGAAGUCAUUGAAUACUGAGAAGCAGCUUCAUCUAGCUUUUGUUGUUUCAUUU